rnacentral:rRNA from 1 species
CCUACGGGCGGCUGCAGUGGGGAAUAUUGGACAAUGGGGGCAACCCUGAUCCAGCAAUGCCGCGUGAGUGAUGAAGGCCUUAGGGUUGUAAAGCUCUUUUGCCAGGGAAGAUGAUGACUGUACCUGGAGAAUAAGCCCCGGCUAACUUCGUGCCAGCAGCCGCGGUAAUACGAAGGGGGCUAGCGUUGUUCGGAAUUACUGGGCGUAAAGGGCGCGUAGGCGGCCGUUUAAGUUAGGUGUGAAAGUCCUGGGCUCAACCUGGGGACUGCACUUAAUACUGGAUGGCUUGAAUUCGGGAGAGGAUAGCGGAAUUCCCAGUGUAGAGGUGAAAUUCGUAGAUAUUGGGAAGAACACCGGUGGCGAAGGCGGCUAUCUGGACCGACAUUGACGCUGAGGCGCGAAAGCGUGGGGAGCAAACAGGAUUAGAUACCCCUGUAGUC